ensembl:lncRNA
ACAAGCUUGGGCCCGUCCACACCAAGCCCCGCCUACUUCUGUUGAUGCAUAUCCAAGAUGCAUCAUGGGAUAUCGUGAGGACAUGAGCAUGAGUCGUACGCUUAUCAAACUAAAUGGUGUCUUAAUAGUGUACUGCACAGGAAAAAAAGUGGACUAGAGAGUGAACUAUCUUUUUAACUGUUCAUAUGAAAACCUGCCAAGUCAUUAUAAUGCACAACUCAAGCAUCCCAGCUCCGCACAGGAAAUACAUAGAAGCGAUGAGCAGGAGCAGUGAUGAUUAGCAGCCUUGACGAGACAGCGAUACAAUAAUAGCAUCACAUCAGACACAAGUCGGUCAACUGAAUAUAAAAAUGUGAUUCCACGCUGAGAAGGAGAUGGCGCUUUGAUUUGACACACUUUGGUCCCAGUCCCGGUCGGAUAAGCCGGGAAGAUCUGUACUCCUCGCUGCGGACUUUCCCAAACCACUCCGAACCAAACUUGGGUUUUAUGAACCAGGGUUUGUACAGAAGCAUGUCAUUCAGUACGAAGAGGGACAGCUUCCAGGAAUCGCAACAGAGUCAGCCAAAAAGUUGAAUGAGAUGCGGAUUCCAACCAGAUUAAAAUAAAAGUUAAUGUUUUGUGAGACAAGCAGAUUCACUGGCGCAAUGCGUCCGGUUCCACAUCUGGGAACACGCCAACACACACCGUUCCCUGAACCGGCAGGGGAAAGCCCAUGAACCGGCUCUGGACAACCCCUGUACCGGCUGGGAAAAACUCAUGAACCGGCUCUGAAUAGACCCUGUAGCGGCUGGGGACAGACCCUGGACCAGCUAGGGACAGCUCCUGUAGCGGUAGAAAGCUCCCCGGCAGCCGCGCUGCUGUACCGCCGCAGCCCCGCAUUGCUGAGCGGCGUCACCUCAAACGACCCGGGCCGCCAGACAAGCUGCUACCUCGGAUGAACCGCUGCUAGAGCACUCCCUAUCCCCGUACCCACACCGGCUCAUCUAGCCCCGACCCACCGAGUAGAGACACUGCAAAAAACACUCCCGACACUGCGGAAAAUACUGCGUGUAUUGCCCUCGCCUUGCCGGGAGGCUGGCGGGCAAAACCAGCCCUCCACCCCGCCGACAGAGCCCCGUCAGGCGGGCAGACACGACGAGGGCGGCCGGGGGGAGAGCUAAUGAUGUUUUAGCAUCUCUCGGUAGCUUAGCCAUUAGCGGUUAGCCUCGGUGGCAGGUCCAUGCAUUAUGUUGCUUAUACAUUUAUUAUG